rnacentral:rRNA from 1 species
UACGUAGGGACCAAGCGUUGUUCGGAUUUACUGGGCGUAAAGAGCGCGCAGGCGGUCGGAUAAGUCGAAUGUGAAAGCCCCCGGCUCAACUGGGGAGGGUCAUUCGAUACUGUUCGACUCGAAGGCAGGAGAGGGAAGUGGAAUUCCCGGUGUAGUGGUGAAAUGCGUAGAUAUCGGGAGGAACACCAGUGGCGAAGGCGACUUCCUGGCCUGUUCUUGACGCUGAGGCGCGAAAGCUAGGGGAGCAAACGGG